GACAGGCCGGCCAUGCCCGGAACUGCCGCCCAAGCGGGGACCUGGCCGGAAGCGCUCUGUGAGAGAGGAAGCAAGGGCCGCCAUCUUGGGAGAGGCGGAAAGGCAGCCUCUAGUCUCCAUCGUGGGAAGGUCAAGCCCUGCAGAGCUACUGGAGAGGGAGCUGGGUUCUACUCCGCCUUGUGCAUCAGCUGAAGAGUCAUGAACUAUGUACUGACUGGCGAAGCCAUCUUCUGCCCAGACCGGCAGGGCAUUGAUUCGUUCCGCAAGGACAGGUGGAAAUCCAGCCACAUGCCUGCAGGGUGAAAAGAGAGGUGAGACUCCCGCAGGAAUAAUAAUAUCUAGCUCUGACACCGUGGAUGGACACUUACAAGGUGGGGCAAAGGGGAUUCAAAGAGUGCAUGAGAAAGACCGGAGAAUCACUCGGAGCUAAAACACGGUGCUGCAACCUGCGUGAAAUCAUCGUUCCAUUGACGUCAAUGGCACAGCUCGCACUGGCUUCACUGCGACCAAGAUUUCACCCCCUGACCCUGCAAACUGAGCUGUAUGGGCUCAAGGGCCUGAUGGCAGGAUCUGCCCCACACCUGGUAAAACUCUCAUUCAGGUCAAGGGGAAUUUUGCCUAAGGAACCAACUGCAGCAUCCAGUGGUUAAAGUAGAGCCUCUUUCAUACAAACAACCUCAAAAUGCUUAAGUUAAACAGUAGAGUUAUGGAAUUACAAAAUAAAUAUCAACAGAGGGAGAGAAAAAGAAUUAUCACGUUGUUCAUAAUAGGCUCAUUGUUACCUUCUGCUUCCAUUCCAUUUAUUUGUUGUAUUUACCCGCUGUCUCUCGCCCAAUCACAAGGAUUUUUAAUGAAUCUGUUAACUCAGGGUUUGUACCCUAUGACUGGAAAAUUGAAAAUAUAGUACCUGUAUUUUAGAAAGGGAAAAAGGUGAUGCAGUAGUUUGACCUCUGCUGUAUGCAACAUCUUAGAACGAAUUUUGAAAGAGAAUAGUCAAGGGCAUAGAAGUAAAUGGUAAUUUGGAUAAAAUGCAACAUGGUUUUACAAAAGGUAGAUCACGGCAGAACAACCUGAUCUCUUU